CAAUUCUUAUCUGAUUGGCAAGAGCACACUUCUGCAGAUGGGAGAAGAUAUUACUACAACAAGAGGACAAGGCAAUCAAGUUGGGAGAAACCUUUGGAAUUGAUGUCACCUAUUGAGAGAGCUGAUGCAUCGACUGUUUGGAAA